rnacentral:rRNA from 1 species
AUGUAGGCCAGGCUGAAGACCUUGCUUGAAUCGCUGAGAGGAGGUGCAUGGCCGUCGCCAGUUCGUACUGUGAAGCAUCCUGUUAAGUCAGGCAACGAGCGAGACCCGUGCCCACUGUUACCAGCAUAUCCUCCGGGAUGAUGGGUACUCUGUGGGGACCGCUGAUGUUAAAUCAGAGGAAGGUGCGGGCUACGGUAGGUCAGUAUGCCCCGAAUUUCCCGGGCUACACGCGGGCUACAAUGAAUGGGACAAUGGGCCCCUACCCUGAAAAGGUUUGGUAAUCUCACAAACCCAUCCGUAGUUCGGAUUGAGGGCUGUAACUCGCCCUCAUGAAGCUGGAAUCCGUAGUAAUCGCGUUUCAAUAUAGCGCGGUGAAUACGUCCCUGCUCCUUGCACACACCGCCCGUCAAACCACCCGAGUGAGGUAUGGGUAAGGGCACGAACUCUGUGUCAUGUUCGAACCUGUGCUUUGCAAGGGGGGUUAAGUCGUAACAAGGUAACCAAGGGCGAAUUCCAGC